rnacentral:rRNA from 1 species
AUUGAACGCUGGCGGCAUGCCUUACACAUGCAAGUCGAACGGCAGCACGGGAGCAAUCCUGGUGGCGAGUGGCGAACGGGUGAGUAAUAUAUCGGAACGUGCCCAGUCGUGGGGAUAACGUAGCGAAAGCUACGCUAAUACCGCAUACGAUCUAUGGAUGAAAGCGGGGGAUCGCAAGACCUCGCGCGAUUGGAGCGGCCGAUAUCAGAUUAGGUAGUUGGUGAGGUAAAGGCUCACCAAGCCGACGAUCUGUAGCUGGUCUGAGAGGACGACCAGCCACACUGGGACUGAGACACGGCCCAGACUCCUACGGGAGGCAGCAGUGGGGGAAUUUUUGGACAAUGGGCGCAAGCCUGAUCCAGCAAUGCCGCGUGCAGGAUGAAGGCCUUCGGUU